rnacentral:rRNA from 1 species
AAACUUUCCUUCGGGAAAGAUAUAAAGUGGCGCACGGGUGAGUAACACGUAAGUAAUCUACCUUCGAGUGGGGAAUAACCCGGGGAAACCCGAGCUAAUACCGCAUAACGCAGCGGCACCUAAUGGUGACAGUUGUUAAGGGAGUAAUUCGCUUGAAGAGGAGCUUGCGGCAGAUUAGCUAGUUGGUAAGGUAAUGGCUUACCAAGGCUUCGAUCUGUAUCCGGUCUAAGAGGACGGUCGGACACACUGACACUGAAUAACGGGUCAGACUCCUACGGGAGGCAGCAGUCGGGAAUUUUGGGCAAUGGGCGAAAGCCUGACCCAGCAACGCCGCGUGAAGGAUGAAGUAUUUCGGUAUGUAAACUUCGAAAGAAUGGGAAGAACUCAAUGACGGCACCAUUUAUAAGCUCCGGCUAACUACGUGCCAGCAGCCGCGGUAAUACGUAGGGAGCAAGCGUUGUUCGGAUUUACUGGGCGUAAAGGGCGCGUAGGCGGCAUAUUAAGUCAUCUGUGAAAUCUCCGAGCUUAACUCGGAACUGUCAGGUGAUACUGAUGUGCUAGAGUGCGGAAGGGGCAAUCGGAAUUCUUGGUGUAGCGGUGAAAUGCGUAGAUAUCAAGAGGAACACCUGAGGUGAAGACGGGUUGCUGGGCCGACACUGACGCUGACAGCGCGAAAGCCAGGGGAGCAAACGGGAUUAGAUACCCCGGUAGUCCUGGCCUUAAACGAUGAAUACUUGGUGUCUGGAGUCUCUAUAGCUCCGGGUGCCGUCGCUAACGUUUUUAGUAUUCCGCCUGGGGAGUACGCACGCAAGUGUGAAACUC